AUUGAACGCUGGCGGCAUGCCUAACACAUGCAAGUCGAACGGUAACAGGCCCUUCGGGGCGCUGACGAGUGGCGGACGGGUGAGUAAUACUUAGGAAUCUACCCUGUAGUGGGGGACAACCCGACGGAAACGUCGGGCUAAUACCGCAUACGCUCUACGGAGGAAAGCGGGGGACCGGCAAGGCCUCGCGCUAUUGGAUGAGCCUAAGCCCGAUUAGCUAGUUGGUGGGGUAAGUGGCCUACCAAGGCAAUGAUCGGUAGCUGGUCUGAGAGGACGACCAGCCACACUGGGACUGAGACACGGCCCAGACUCCUACGGGAGGCAGCAGUGGGGAAUAUUGGACAAUGGGCGAAAGCCUGAUCCAGCGAUGCCGCGUGUGUGAAGAAGGCC
rnacentral:rRNA from 1 species